rnacentral:rRNA from 1 species
AAAGGAAUAGACGGGGGCCCGCACAAGCGGUGGAGCAUGUGGUUUAAUUCGAUGCAACGCGCAGAACCUUACCGAGACUUGACAUCCCGUGCCUAUCUGUGAAAGCAGAGUCUGCCUUCGGGCACACGGAGACAGGUGGUGCAUGGUUGUCGUCAGCUCGUGUCGUGAGAUGUUGGGUUAAGUCCCGCAACGAGCGCAACCCCUGUCCUUAGUUACCAGCGAGUAAAGUCGGGGACUCUAAGGAGACAGCCGGUGAAAGCCGGAGGAAGGUGGGGAUGACGUCAAAUCAUCAUGCCCUUUAUGUCUCGGGCUACACACGUGCUACAAUGGUCAGUACAGAGGGAAGCGAAGUGGUGACAUGGAGCCAAUCUCAGAAAGCUGAUCCCAGUUCGGAUUGCAGGCUGCAACUCGCCUGCAUGAAGCCGGAAUCGCUAGUAAUCGCAGGUCAGCAUACUGCGGUGAAUACGUUCCCGGGCCUUGUACACACCGCCCGU